rnacentral:rRNA from 1 species
CAUGCCUAACACAUGCAAGUCGAACGGAAACGAUGCUAGCCUGCUAGCAGGCGUCGAGUGGCGGACGGGUGAGUAAUGUAUAGGGAUCUGCCUAGUAGUGGGGGACAACAUGUGGAAACGCAUGCUAAUACCGCAUACGCUCUACGGAGGAAAGUGGGGGACCUUUCGGGGCCUCAUGCUACUAGAUGAACCUAUAUUGGAUUAGCUUGUUGGUAAGGUAAUGGCUUACCAAGGCGACGAUCCAUAGCUGGUUUGAGAGAAUGAUCAGCCACACUGGGACUGAGACACGGCCCAGACUCCUACGGGAGGCAGCAGUGGGGAAUAUUGCACAAUGGGCGCAAGCCUGAUGCAGCAAUGCCGCGUGUGUGAAGAAGGCCUUAGGGUUGUAAAGCACUUUCAGACGUGAGGAAAAGUAAUAAUUUAAUAAAUUGUUACCCUGACGUUAACGUCAGAAGAAGGACCGGCUAACUCCGUGCCAGCAGCCGCGGUAAUACGGAGGGUCCAAGCGUUAAUCGGAAUUACUGGGCGUAAAGCGCGCGUAGGCGGAUAUUUAAGUCAGAUGUGAAAUCCCUGGGCUCAACCUAGGAACUGCAUUUGAUACUGGAUAUCUAGAGUAUGGUAGAGGUGAGUGGAAUUUCAGGUGUAGCGGUGAAAUGCGUAGAGAUCUGAAGGAACAUCAGUGGCGAAGGCGACUCACUGGGCCAUUACUGACGCUGAGGUGCGAAAGCGUGGGUAGCAAACAGGAUUAGAUACCCUGGUAGUCCACGCCCUAAACGAUGUCAACUAGGUGUAUGGGAGUUUAACUCCUGUGUAUCGAAGCUAACGCGAUAAGUUGACCGCCUGGGGAGUACGGUCGCAAGACUAAAACUCAAAUGAAUUGACGGGGGCCCGCACAAGCGGUGGAGCAUGUGGUUCAAUUCGAUGCAACGCGAAGAACCUUACCUGGUCUUGACAUGUAGCGAAGGUUUUAGAGAUAGAACUGUGCCUUCGGGAACGCUAACACAGGUGCUGCAUGGCUGUCGUCAGCUCGUGUCGUGAGAUGU